UACGGAGGGAGCUAGCGUUGUUCGGAAUUACUGGGCGUAAAGGCGUGCGUAGGCGGUUAUUCAAGUCAGAGGUGAAAGCCCGGGGCUCAACCCCCGGAACUGCCUUUGAAACUAGAUAGCUAGAAUCUUGGAGAGGUCAGUGGAAGUUCCGAGUGUAGAGGUGAAAUUCGUAGAUAUUCGGAAGAACACCAGUGGCGAAGGCGACUGACUGGACAAGUAUUGACGCUGAGGCACGAAAGCGUGGGGAGCAAACAGGG
rnacentral:rRNA from 1 species